ensembl:rRNA 5S_rRNA 5S ribosomal RNA
GCUUACGGUCACACUACCUGAGAACGCCCGAUCUCGUCUGAUCUCGGAAGCUAAGCAGGGUUUGGCCUGGUUAGUACUUGGAUGGGAGACCACCUGGGAAUACCAGGUGCUGUAAGCU